UCACGUCGCCCGUCUCUUGUCCUCCUCCUCCUCCGGUCUGCUGACACCCAACCAUCUCCGAGGAGCUAUCUUCUUCCCCAUGAAGCUUUUAUCCGAUCCUCUCUCGUUUCCCUCAACACACGAACCCGGCCUGCCUAUUAGGUCCAGAUCUGGGGAUGCUAGCGGAUCCGGUGGCCAGCGCCGCCGGCAGCAGAGGGCGACAGCCCCCCGCGUGACGUCAGGCUCCGGCGGCGGCAGCGUCAAGGUGAUCCGGUCUCCCGCUGGCCGCUGCGCUAUUCGAUUUCUUGAUUCGAUUGCGCUGUCUCGUCAAGGCAUCGCCUUUCAUCUCAUGGGUGUUCGGCGGGGCGACACUCGAGCGAUCGAGCGCACCUAACAAUACUGCUCUUGGUCUCUCCGGCUCCCCCAUUCUCCCUUCUCCAGAGAUGGUACAACAAUGUCGAGAUCAGCGACAAGCUGCGGCGGCAUGUGAAGGCGGCCUCCCCAAAUGCAGAUGCAGCAUGAGUUAAGCAAGCGGAGCAGCCGAUCGGCCGAGAGGAGCAGGGCAGCAGGAACGCAAGAAUUCAAGAAGCAGGAAGCCAGGAACGCUGAAACUCCUGUGCAAGAAACCGCUAGGAGAUAAUGCCGCCUAAAAGAAGAAUUGACAGUACAAUUGAUUCUUUUUUCAAGAGGGUAGAUAGAGGUGGUGAUAGACAAUUGGAGCAAGAUAAUUCUCCUGCUGUGGUCCAUGAAGAAGCCCCCAAUCCUGAAGAAAAUAGGCCUGCAGAACCAGAAGUAGUACAAUUCACAACUUCAGACAUUAUAGAUGAUUUCUAUGCUAUGAAGACGUGCAAAGUGAGGCUUAAAUGAAACAAAAUUCACUGCAGGUUUGACAAAAUGGGAUCUGGGCUUUGUGAACCUGAUGAGGAUGACAGUGGAAUAGAGCUUGUCAGGACAUUUCUUCUUCCUUCUCGGCUCAGCCUAGGUGCAUUUACACACAAGCGGCUGGGAAUUGCACAAUCCUAUCGAUUUUAGAAUGAGACACAGCAUGCAUGCGUUACCCACCUCCAUGCAGGUCGGCAAUUUCUAUACAUUCCUAUAGUAGUACCAUUAAGGUAAAGAGCCAACAGAUGUGAUCUUCUGAGACCACUGAUGCAGUGCUCCCUUCAACUGAUGGCCCUCCAUAGCUUAGCUUAUCCGUGGCGAAAUCCACCAGACAUGUAAGCAGACACGAAAUAUAUAGGGAAGUCUUUUCUAUAUGUGCAACACCUAAGCGUUUGGCGAUGAAGGAACCCUCUCUGGCUAAAUAAUCAAUUGGAUAUCAUUGUGAACAUAAUAUUGCAAACCAUGAGGUUUUUUCCCCCAUAUAUAUAUGAACCGCUUUAGUGCUA